ensembl:lncRNA
UUAAUCUUUUAUAAGUAUACAGUUCAUAGUGUUAAGUGUAUUCUUUGUUGUGUGUCUUAGCUACUUGUUGCUGAGAUAAAAUACCCAACACCCAAAGUUAAAAGAAGAAAGGUUUUUUGCAGCUCAUAGUUCAUAGAGGUUUCAGUUCAUACUUGGCUGGCUCUAAGGCGGGUUGGCUUGGUGGGGGAUGGAAAUCGUGGAGGAGAAACAGUUCAUGGCAGGCAGAAGGCAGCAAAGUAGUGAAGAAGCGCCAGAUGUGCACACCUGUGACCUGGCACUUGGGAGGCUGAGAAAGGAUUCCCAUAAGUUUGAGGCCAACCUGUGGUACAUACUGAGUUCAAGCCUGGUCUGAGCUGCAGAGCGUAGCAAGGCCCUGUCUCAGAACACCAAAAAAAAAAAAAAAAAAACAGACCGGCAAAGCAAGUGACAAGCAACAACCCUCUGUCUCAUUUUAUCUAGGCUACCUGGCCUUAGGGCAAUAGCACUCACGCUCUUAAUCCUGGCACCACACUGUGAAUCAAUCGGCGCACAUCCUUGAUCCCAGCAUCAAACACCCUAGAUUCAGCAACCUCCAAAAAGCCCCACUUAGGACUGCAUGAGGCUCUGCGGGGACAUCUAGGUACAAACCAUAACAAUUGUGCAACCAAUCUCCAGAACUUUCUCAUCUUGCCUUGGGGUGCAGUGACUUGAAACUCAACCUCCCCUCAGCUCCUGGCAGCCACCAUUCCUCUGACUACUCUAGGGAUCUCACGAUGAAGUCUUAGAAGUGGAAUUGCUCAGCAAAAGCCUACAUUGAUCAUUGUAUUGCUAUUGUCAAACUGCCCUCCAUGGAGGUUGGAAGAACUUACAUUCUCACCAGUGUUAUGAACCCCACCUUUGCCAGCAAGGACUGGUGUCCGUUGAAGAAGAGGAAGAGACACCUCUCUCCUCAUGCACCCAGGAAAGGUGUGUGAGAACAUAGAGAAGCUGAUGUCUGCAACCGGCC